GGCAAGUCAAGCUCCCAAAUCGAAAAUAACAAUUAGAAGAAAAAAUAUUCAAUCACCUACAGUGCCUAAGAAUCUGAGAUUGAGGAAGAGAUGCCUGGAAAGAAUAGAAAAAUAGACAGAUAUUUGAAAUUAAAAAACAAGCUUGAAAAGAGAGAAAAGAGUGGAAGGAAGAAAGAGGUAUAUUCGAGAGAACCCUAGAUUUAAGGGUUUGAU
rnacentral:misc_RNA from 1 species